UUCGCAGAUAACCUCGGCCUUGUCGAGAUCACCUCGGCGUCAUGUCCUGGACACGUGGCACCUUGGCUAACACGUCGGCGUCACCUUAGCCAUGUGUUGGUACUCAGAAAAUAUAUCCCCACACAUACCAUAACAAAGGGCUCGCCUUCUCUGAGAAAGAGAGGGAUGCCCAUUAUCUGCAUGGUCUUCGUUUCCUAGUCAUCGUUGCCCCAAAAUCUUCAGGUUAUAAAAAAUACACCGCCUCUACUUUUGGAUUCUCCAUUUUCAUUUUUGUGUGUUUUUAAAUUUUCCUCGUCUUAGAAAAAAGGACUAAUGAUGGAUAUUUUUCUUGUUACUUUACCUACCAGAUCAAGAAAUUGAUGCACAAUAUCUGCUAGUAUCAAGUCCCACUGCGGAGGUACAUGGCCAUGAUGGAUAUCCAGGUCCUAACUAUAUUGGUGAUAGAGAAUUUGGAAAGGAAUGUGGAUUCUAUGGUUUGGGUCCUGAAAUCCUGUACUUCAUUAGCCUUGAGACUCAUUUAUGUUUUGCAAGAUUUAUAUUUUUUGGUUGUGUGACUCAUUUAGAAAGUUAGAUAUGCAUAGUUUUGGAUGGUUUAAACUUUUUGUACAGUUUAGAACUUAAGGAUAUAGUUUUUGAAUGUUUGGAAUGUAUAGACAAUUGUUAAAUAUUUAUAAUUUAUGGAUAUAGAUUCUUUUUCGUGUUUCAAA